CUGACAUUUGGUCAUUCUCUCUGGGAUUCUCUCUAGGAUUUUCUGUGAGAUGGAAAAGGCAUCUUGACUUAGAUGAACCAAAGAUGAGAUAGAUAUUUUAAAUAAUAGAUACAGGGGUUCUUACCCAAAGCAGGAGAGGCAACGCUGGGAUCUAGGGCCUAGAUUCCAUUUUCCCGGUCAGAGUCUUUACAAAAUGCUUGGCUGUUUUAUUCCGCCCUUUCAGAAGCGGCUGGGAAGUGUGGGAAGGCUGCCCGUCAGUUGUCCUCAUCCCCACCCUGUAGUCCUGUCCCACCCCACCUGAUGUGCUAUAUAAGGAGGUCUUGCUGUUGAUCACAACAGACAUCUCAGUGUCAGCCCCACCAUGAGACUCGCCGCCUUGCUGGUUCUGUUGUGCCUGUGCUCUCUGCCAAUGGCUUCUAAUUGUGUUUCAGAGGAGGAAUCAUCCACAGCCUUAAAAGCUAAAGCAUUUUCCUCAAAGUUUCUUCCGCAACCACCAUGUGAAAGAUUUGGAUCUGGACGAGGAGGAGGAGGAAUGGGAGCAGGAAUUGGAGGAGGAAUUGGAGGAGGACUUGGAUAUUGAAGAUGAUUUUUUUUAACUUCAAUAAGUCGAAAAGGACCCUCCCAGACCAAUCAUAUCCACAAUAGAAGAAUUAAAAGAAUGUCCUUUAAAGUAAAAUAAAGACAAUUGCAAAGCAAAAACAAAAGAA